AAGAUUACACCAUCUUUGUAGGUGAAGGAGAAGUACGAACUUCUCCCAGGCCAUCUGAUUUUUUCGGUUUCCACCGAAGCCGCGCAGCGAUCUCACUGUUUGAUUUCGUUUUUGUGUCGUUGUGUCUGUCUCUCUAUUUCCUCUCUGAGAGUAUUUUGGGGCCCUUAAAUGUUUUCAAAGAGUACACUGUUCUUUUGGGUGAUGGAGUUCCUCCUCCCCCUAAUCUGAUAUUUCCGGUUUGUGCCGAAGCUGCGCAGCGUUCUUUGUGUUUUGUGUCCUGUCUGAUUUGUAUCUGUCUCCUUGCCUCUGCAUUUUCUCGUUCCACCUGAGACUAACAUGGGACAAUCUAUAACAACUCCCUUGAGUCUCGCCCUUGACCAUUGGCAGGACGUCCGAAAUCGGGCAAACAACCAGUCAAUAAAAAUUAAAAAAAAAAAAAUGGGUAACACUCUGUACCACGGAGUGGCCAAUAUUGGCCCACCCUCGAAGUUGAAUGGCCCCCAGGAGAGUCCCUACAUCUCUCUCUGUAAUCUGCAAAGUCAGAGAUUGUCUUUCGGCCGGGGCCGCAUGGCCAUCCAGAUCAUGGCUUUUAACCUUUCAGGACCUCUGCGAAUCUCCUCCUGCAUGGGUGGGAUCCAUGCAGUCCGCCAGGAUCAGUCCCGUCCCUGUUCCUCCCGGCCCCUCCACCCCAGGAAGCGAACGGGUCUUCCUGGAGUCGGGCUGCUUGGAAAUGCAGCCCAAGGCGGAUG
rnacentral:lncRNA from 1 species